rnacentral:rRNA from 1 species
UGCGGCAGCAAAAGUGGUGGUAUAAGACAUCUCUUCCCUUUCCGAACAGAGAAGUUGAGCCCGUAUACGCCAAUGGUACUGCAAUGAAAUGCGGGAGAGUAGGAAGCUGCCUAUU